GCAGAGGUUGUGGUGAGCAGAGAUCACACCACUCCACUCCAGCCUGGGCGACAGAGUGAGACUCUGUUGCAAAAAAAAAAAAAAAAGAAAAAGAAAAAAAAGAAAAAAAGAAAAGAAAAGAAAUAUUUGCUAAGUGAAUAAGGGAAGCAGAUGCUUCUUGAUCAGUUGAGAAAUCUCCGUCUAAGAGACUGCACAGAGCCCAGUAUCUCUGGCAAAGGAUAAAUUGUUUGGAGAGGGCUCUCUUUAGUGUAGGAGAAAGUAGCCCCUUUGCCCCGGGAGAAAACUGUGACAAAACCUUGGUGUUUCAAGGACUUGAAAAAACUGCCCACCCACUGAGGGGGCAAGCAAGUUGCCACUGUGUGUAUACCUGGUGGUGAGAGUGAGGUCUGCGAGGUGGUCCUUCCCAUCCUGUCCUGGUCCUUACCUCCCAUUCCAAGACCAGCCUCCACCCCAGAAGCAGAUUUUCCCAUAACUUGAGGGUUACAGUCUGGGCAGAGAUUUGGCUCAGGGCUCUGGACUCCACCCCUCAACCUCUUUAAGUGGCCCUUUACUUGUCUGGGCAGGGGAGGCAAAUCUGAGCACCCUUGCCAGACAUGGGGAGAUCCUCUCGCCUAUGAGUCCAGGUAGGGUCUGGCCAGUGCGGCGCGGCGUGGCUUGACUCACAGCGCCCAGUGGGUGGUGCAGACACUAGCGCCAGAGGAAGAAAGGAAAGCAACCAUUAUUACCAUUUACUAUGUCCUCAGCCCUGCUCUGGGCGUCUCACACGUUUUAAUAUAAUCCUUAGAACAACUAAAUAGGUUGGAAUUACCUUCAUUUUAUAGAUGCAGAGAAUAAGGCAGUGACCUGAGGUCACACUCUAGAAAGGAGCAGCGUCAGGAUUCAAAUGCAGGUGUGCCUGCCCUCCAGAACCCAUGCUUGUCCACUGAGCCCCAUGGCUGCCCAGGAAGGCAUGAGUCCCCAGGGAUCCCAGGAACCCUCAGGGACCUCCCUGAGAAGCAGAGAAGAAGGCAAAGCCCUCGCUGGUGAGGACCCUUGGGAGCAAAGAUGGGGACAGAAGGAGGAGACUUAGCAAGGGGCCAGCAGGGUGCAGACUUGCGGGAAGAGGAAAGGGAGAAGAUUCAAAAGGGCAAACUGAGGCAGGAGGUGAGAGAUUUAGACCAGGUCUAGGGAGAUCAUGGAGGAAGCCCGGGGCAACUGGAGGCGCCCCAGCAGGACUGGAUGAUUUAGGGACCAAGGUUGGAGCAGAGGGCAGGAGUCACACAUGUAAAUGCUCCCAGGAGCUGGGCAGGUCACGUCAAUGGGCAGGUGAGCUGAGGGUGGAGCACGGACAGAGCUGAGCAGGAGACAAGCAGGACAUGGGAGUUGGAGCAGGGUUGGGAGCCCUCAGACAAUGGCCAGAGGCUGGGGCACAGGUGCUCAGUCUUUUCCAGGCAGCUGGGUGGGCAGCGGGCACACCAGACGAUCAUGGGUCCGGACCCACACCUCAGUUCCCCUCUUAGUGACUAUGCAAGUGCAAGCUUUCCAUCCCUGAGUUUUCUCUACAAAUGGAUACCCUCGGCAUUGCCUUAAAACACGUAUAUAUUAACCACACUAAAAAGCAGUCGUUUCCCCAUCCCAGGGCCAGUCUGCACAAUCAUUAGGUUCUAACGUAAGCUUCAUUUUCAGGCCAGCACACCCUCCGGGUCACAAUACAUUAGUCAUUUGCCAGUCAGAAUUGGCACCCAUUGUGUGCCAGAACUGUCUUUUAGCUCCUUCUCCCGGGUUUCAGGCUGGUAGGAACUGGCACCCACCGUGUGCCCACCACCCUGUCUUCUAGCUCCUGCUCCCAUGUGUCAGGUUGGUCGGAACUGGCACCCACCGUGUGCCCCGCACCAUGUCUUCCAGCUUCUGCUCCCAUGUUUCAGGUUGGUGGGAAGCUUCCAAGUUAUAAGUGUUUGGGAGAAAGUUUAUACCUCAUUUGGGUGUUCCCAGUGGGAAUACCCUCAGCGGUAACUGGCACAGAGUGAAAUAUUGCUUCCUGUGUGCCAUGGGGAUUGGACUGUCUCCCACCUAGCCAGGAAGUGCCUCCAGGCAGGAGCCGACUCUUCUAGAGGCCUGAGACAGGCCCGCCUCUUUGCAUAAGAACUUGUUCAGGAUGCUUUAGCUUUGGGCUGGGGUGGGGUGGGUGGUGCGUCAUUCAGGAAGACAGGUGGAUUUUUUUUAAGCAAUAAAAUAGUACUAUUAUUUUAAAACUUUUUCGGACACUAUCCUAGCAUUUCAUGUGUGUUGAUUAACAGGUAGAAAUGUAAUUACCUGCAUUAUCUCUCUAUAUAUUUAGUAAAUCAUUUAUGUGUUAGGUAUUUGUCCACAAGCACUCAUUUUAGUCACCAGGGAUAUUGGAGAACAUAGUAUCCACACAUUUUGAGAGACCUGAAGGUGUAUGUCACUAUCCCUGACUUCAGGGACCUUACAGUUGGUUCAGGAAGAUAAGAAAAGCGCAUGUUAAAAAGCGCAGAGGAGCCAGAUGCGGAGGCUCAACUGUAAUCCCAGCACUUUGGGAGGCCAAGGUGGGCCCAAGAGUUUGAGACAAGCCCCUUGCUUGAGCUCAGCCUGGGCAAUAUGGCAAAACCCUGUCCCUAUUUAAAAAAAAAAAAAAAAAA
ensembl:lncRNA